UACGUAGGGUGCAAGCGUUGUCCGGAAUUAUUGGGCGUAAAGAGCUCGUAGGCGGUCUGUCGCGUCGGAUGUGAAAAUCCAGGGCUCAACCCUGGACCUGCAUUCGAUACGGGCAGACUAGAGUUCGGUAGGGGAGACUGGAAUUCCUGGUGUAGCGGUGGAAUGCGCAGAUAUCAGGAGGAACACCGGUGGCGAAGGCGGGUCUCUGGGCCGUAACCUGACGCUGAGGAGCGAAAGCAUGGGGAGCGAACAGG
rnacentral:rRNA from 1 species